rnacentral:rRNA from 1 species
AGCGUACACGGUGGAUGCCUAGGCAAUCAGAGGCGAAGAAGGACGUGCUAAUCUGCGAAAAGCUUGGAUGAGUUGAUAAGAAGCGUUUAAUCCAAGAUAUCCGAAUGGGGAAACCCGAUGGAUGAAGAAUCCAUCAUUUCAUUAUGAAUCCAUAGUAAUGAAAGGCAAACCGGGAGAACUGAAACAUCUAAGUACCCCGAGGAAAAGAAAUCAACCGAGAUUUUGUAAGUAGCGGCGAGCGAAAGCGAAAGAGCCAGUGAGUGAUAGCAGCAAAGACAGAAGAAUUGGCUGGGAAGCCAAGCGACACAGGGUGAUAGCCCCGUAUUCGAAGUUUUUGUUGUGGUACUAAGCUUGCAACAAGUAGGGCGGGACACGAGAAAUCCUGUUUGAAGAUGGGGGGACCAUCCUCCAAGGCUAAAUACUCCUGAUUGACCGAUAGUGAACCAGUACUGUGAAGGAAAGGCGAAAAGAACCCCAGUGAGGGGAGUGAAAUAGAACCUGAAACCGUGUACGUACAAGCAGUGGGAGCCCUUUGGGGUGACUGCGUACCUUUUGUAUAAUGGGUCAGCGACUUAUAUUUUGUAGCGAGGUUAACUGAAUAAGGGAGCCGAAGGGAAACCGAGUCUUAACUGGGCGGAUAGUUGCAAGGUAUAGACCCGAAACCCGGUGAUCUAGCCAUGGGCAGGUUGAAGGUUGGGUAACACUAACUGGAGGACCGAACCGACUAAUGUUGAAAAAUUAGCGGAUGACUUGUGGCUGGGGGUGAAAGGCCAAUCAAACCGGGAGAUAGCUGGUUCUCCCCGAAAUCUAUUUAGGUAGAGCCUUAUGUGAAUACCUUCGGGGGUAGAGCACUGUUUCGGCUAGGGGUCCAUCCCGGAUUACCAACCCGAUGCAAACUGCGAAUACCGAAGAGUAAUGCAUAGGAGACACACGGUGGGUGCUAACGUCCAUCGUGGAGAGGGAAACAACCCAGACCGCCAGCUAAGGUCCCAAAGUCUAUAUUAAGUGGGAAACGAAGUGGGAAGGCUUAGACAGCUAGGAUGUUGGCUUAGAAGCAGCCAUCAUUUAAAGAAAGCGUAAUAGCUCACUAGUCGAGUCGGCCUGCGCGGAAGAUGUAACGGGGCUAAAAUAUAGCACCGAAGCUGCGGCAUCAGGCGUAUCACUAAUACGCCUUACGAUUAACAACAUCGAAUGAAGUGAAACGGAAAGAGAUGUUGGUCAAGCAACCCGAACGUUGAGUCGGAAAGUAAUCGAAGAGAGGAUUAUUAGUGAUACGUCUGUUGGGUAGGGGAGCGUUGUGUAAGCGGAUGAAGGUGAAUCGAGAGGUUUGCUGGACGUAUCACAAGUGCGAAUGCUGACAUAAGUAACGAUAAAACGAGUGAAAAACUCGUUCGCCGGAAGACCAAGGGUUCCUGUCCAACGUUAAUCGGGGCAGGGUGAGUCGGCCCCUAAGGCGAGGCUGAAAAGCGUAGUCGAUGGGAAACGGGUUAAUAUUCCCGUACUUGGUAAAGCUGCGAUGUGGGGACGGAGAAGGUUAGGUUAGCAGACUGUUGGAUGUCUGUUUAAGUUGGUAGGUGGGGAGUUUAGGCAAAUCCGGACUUCCAUAACACUGAGAGAUGAUGACGAGUUUCUACGGAAAUGAAGUAACUGAUACCACGCUUCCAGGAAAAGCCACUAAGCGAAAGGCUUUACUAAACCGUACUGAAAACCGACACAGGUGGUCAGGUAGAGAAUACUCAGGCGCUUGAGAGAACUCGGGUGAAGGAACUAGGCAAAAUAGCACCGUAACUUCGGGAGAAGGUGCGCUGGCGUAGGUUGUAGGAGUAUACCUCCGAAGGCUGAACCAGUCGAAGAUACCAGCUGGCUGCAACUGUUUAUUAAAAACACAGCACUCUGCAAACACGAAAGUGGACGUAUAGGGUGUGAUGCCUGCCCGGUGCUGGAAGGUUAAUUGAUGGUGUAAUCGAAAGAGAAGCUCCUGAUCGAAGCCCCAGUAAACGGCGGCCGUAACUAUAACGGUCCUAAGGUAGCGAAAUUCCUUGUCGGGUAAGUUCCGACCUGCACGAAUGGCAUAAUGAUGGCCAGGCUGUCUCCACCCGAGACUCAGUGAAAUUGAAAUCGCCGUGAAGAUGCGGUGU